rnacentral:rRNA from 1 species
UAAGGGGGCAUGCUUACCAUGCAGUCGACGGCAGCACGGGUGCUUGCACCUGGUGGCGAGUGGCGAACGGGUGAGUAAUACAUCGGAACAUGUCCUGUAGUGGGGGAUAGCCCGGCGAAAGCCGGAUUAAUACCGCAUACGAUCUCUGGAUGAAAGCGGGGGACCUUCGGGCCUCGCGCUAUAGGGUUGGCCGAUGGCUGAUUAGCUAGUUGGUGGGGUAAAGGCCUACCAAGGCGACGAUCAGUAGCUGGUCUGAGAGGACGACCAGCCACACUGGGACUGAGACACGGCCCAGACUCCUACGGGAGGCAGCAGUGGGGAAUUUUGGACAAUGGGCGAAAGCCUGAUCCAGCAAUGCCGCGUGUGUGAAGAAGGCCUUCGGGUUGUAAAGCACUUUUGUCCGGAAAGAAAUCCUUGGCCCUAAUACGGUCGGGGGAUGACGGUACCGGAAGAAUAAGCACCGGCUAACUACGUGCCAGCACCGCGGGUAAA